UACGGAGGGGGCUAGCGUUGUUCGGAAUUACUGGGCGUAAAGCGUACGUAGGCGGCUUGGCAAGUUAGAGGUGAAAGCCCGGAGCUCAACUCCGGAAUAGCCUUUGAGACUGCCUCGCUUGAACGUCGGAGAGGUGAGUGGAAUUCCGAGUGUAGAGGUGAAAUUCGUAGAUAUUCGGAAGAACACCAGUGGCGAAGGCGCCUCACUGGACGACUGUUGACGCUGAGGUACGAAAGCGUGGGGAGCAAACAGG
rnacentral:rRNA from 1 species